GACGAACGCUGGCGGCGUGCUUAACACAUGCCAGUAGAACGGACAGUCCAUGCUUUUGUGGGGUGCUCGAGUGGCGAACAGGUGAGUAACACGUGAGAAACCUGCCCUUGACUGUGGGAUAACUUCGGGAAACUGGGGGUAAUACCGGCUAGUAGCUCCUGCUGCUUGGUGGGGGUUGGAAAGUUUCGGCGGUUGGGGAUGGACUCGCGGCUUAUCCGCCUGUUGGUGGGGUAGUGGGUUACCAAGGCAUUGGCGGGUAGCCGGACUGAGAGUGUGACCGGCCACAGAGUGACAGAGGUGCCGGCCGGACUCCUUCUGGGGGCAGCAGUGGGGGUUAGUGCGAGCAGGGCCGAAGCCGGAUGCAGCAUCGUCGCGUGGUGGAGGACUGUCGUCGGGUUGGAACGCGCUUUCGCGUGUGAAGUACCGUGAGUGACGGUAAUGUGUAAAGAAGCACCGGCUAACUACGUG
rnacentral:rRNA from 1 species